rnacentral:ncRNA from 1 species
AUAAAGAAGAAGAAAGUAACCUGCCCAUGAGAGGGGAACAAUGACUGAAAAUGGCCACUAAUGCCUUGUUGGCUUUGGAGCAAAAGGGAGAAUUUGCCCAAUGAGAGGCUCACGUUUGAUUAGCCAAUUGGUGAGACAAUAGCUCAUCAAGGCGAUGAUUAGUAACUAAUUCGAGAGGAUAAUCAGCCACAUCAGGACUGAGAUAUGAUCUGGACUCCUAAA